rnacentral:lncRNA from 1 species
GCUGGGAUUACAGGCGUGAGCCACCGCGCCCAGCCCAAAAUCAUUCCUCUCUUAAGUAUCUUUUUCCAAUAUGGCAAAUAAGCCUAGAGAUGAACAGGUAAGAAGUAAAAAAAUAAAAUUAAGAAAAAACUGAAAAAAAUUUUUAAUUUUUAAAAUUUAAGGAGAAUUGCGGCGUGGAUCCUUCAAUUUCCUACAUCCAGAUUCUGCUGUCCACAAGGUUCAGCUUUGGAAGUCUUCUAUGUGCCUUUUAAAUCCUUUCUUAAAAUUACAGAGUCUUUUCUACCAAGUUUUAAAUCUAACGCUCUAUCAAUAAUGUAAUCUUUUAUAUGCAGUAACAUUAUACUUCAGAUGGAUUAGUAGUUUAGUUUAGAUGCCUUUGGGUCUGGAAGCAUACGAAUGGAUAAAACAAUUCCUUCAAGUCUCUGACAGCUUCAUAACUCUAUUUUAUCUACAUAGCUUCUUCUCAACUUCCUCUGUCUAUUCCAAGAUAUUUUCCAGGUAGGUCUGAAACGCUGAGUCCCGUAAAGAAAUGUUUAUGCAUCAAAUAACAGAAGAGCUCUUCCCCCACCCCUUCAGCUCCCAUAAUGUUUUACCAUUAUAUCCAGUAAACAAAAUAGGUUGACUCAAUCUUAAACAAUUCCCCCAUCACAGGAAGCCCACUGCACCCACAGCUGCAGAAAGCAUCCCUUAAACCAUCCCCAACUACCUACAGCAACACAAAGUUAAACCAAUUUCCACUGACAAAAGGCUAUGUGUGCAUUUAUUCUAAUCAGCCCCAGGAUUUAUUGUGUGAAACUCAGGCGAUAAAAAGUCACCUCCUCAAGCUACAAAACUUUUUUUUCAUCCCAAAUAUUCUCAAUGAAAGUUCUCUUGUCAACCAGGAGAGAGUCAAAAACAACCACAAACACUAGCAGAAUGAUCCGCUCCAGGACCACAUCCCAGCUGGCUUUGCUCUGUUGUCGGUGGCUCUGAAGCAGUUUCUCACUUUCCUUUCACCCUUCUCCCCUUUACUCCCCAACAUUCUCACUCGAGAAUGCAUCACAUCCUCAGACCGCUGGCAAAAAAAAAAGGGGGGGGGGAAGAGACUGCAAUUAUCAAGGAAGGGGAAGAUAUUUCAGAACCACGGUUUCCACUGCAAACGGCAAUAAAAAAAAAAGGCAGUCUGUGUCAUCAGGAUAUGGGGGACGACGUUGUAGGGCAUCACAAAGAUGUGCAGUGAGUGUGCACUUGAAGCUCUCGGGGCAGGAUGAGACGAUGGAGCAGAAAGUAAGAAAACCUGUGCCUUCCUUGCUUUCUUCUGCUCUUCCCCCUCCAGGAGAGGAAGCUGAAGAAACUGGGGGAGGGGCGGAAUGUUAUCGUUCUCCUAUUGAGGGUAUAUAAGACAGGCCUUAGGGUUCGCUCGUCCCCAGUUAGGAGGGUCACGGAGGGAAGAGGAAGAGAGAACCCCUAAACGUUACCCACCUCUGCUCAAAAACAAAAAGACAAGGUCUGACUCUGUGCAGUGGAGUGCAGUGGCUCAAUCAUAGCUCACUCCAGCCUCAGACUCCUGGGCCGAAGUGAUCCUCCCACCUCAAGCUCCUGAAUAGCUGGGACUACAGCUGGGCAUGGUGGCAUGUGCCUGUGGUUCCAGUUACUUGGGAAGCUGAAGUGGGAGGAUCGCUUGAGCCCAGGAGGUCAAGGCUACAGUGAGCUGUGAUGGUGUCAUUGCAUUCCAGCACUCCAGCCCGGGCAUCAGAGUUAGACCUUGUCUUAAAAAAUAAAUAAAUGAAUAAAUAUAAAUAAAAAAUAAAAAGCUUUUACAG